UACGUAGGGGGCAAGCGUUGUCCGGAUUUACUGGGCGUAAAGGGCGCGUAGGCGGCCACCGCAAGUCGACUGUGAAAUCUCCGGGCUUAACCCGGAAAGGUCAGCCGAUACUGCGGGGCUAGAGUGCAGAAGGGGCAACUGGAAUUCUCGGUGUAGCGGUGAAAUGCGUAGAUAUCGAGAGGAACACCUGCGGCGAAGGCGGGUUGCUGGGCUGACACUGACGCUGAUGCGCGAAAGCUAGGGGAGCAAACAGG
rnacentral:rRNA from 1 species